GGGACACGUGGUAUCCUGUCUGAAUAUGGGGGGACCAUCCUCCAAGGCUAAAUACUCCUGACUGACCGAUAGUGAACCAGUACCGUGAGGGAAAGGCGAAAAGAACCCCGGCGAGGGGAGUGAAAAAGAACCUGAAACCGUGUACGUACAAGCAGUGGGAGCACGCUUAGGCGUGUGACUGCGUACCUUUUGUAUAAUGGGUCAGCGACUUAUAUUCUGUAGCAAGGUUAACCGAAUAGGGGAGCCGAAGGGAAACCGAGUCUUAACUGGGCGUUAAGUUGCAGGGUAUAGACCCGAAACCCGGUGAUCUAGCCAUGGGCAGGUUGAAGGUUGGGUAACACUAACUGGAGGACCGAACCGACUAAUGUUGAAAAAUUAGCGGAUGACUUGUGGCUGGGGGUGAAAGGCCAAUCAAACCGGGAGAUAGCUGGUUCUCCCCGAAAGCUAUUUAGGUAGCGCCUCGUGAAUUCAUCUCCGGGGGUAGAGCACUGUUUCGGCAAGGGGGUCAUCCCGACUUACCAACCCGAUGCAAACUGCGAAUACCGGAGAAUGUUAUCACGGGAGACACACGGCGGGUGCUAACGUCCGUCGUGAAGAGGGAAACAACCCAGACCGCCAGCUAAGGUCCCAAAGUCAUGGUUAAGUGGGAAACGAUGUGGGAAGGCCCAGACAGCCAGGAUGUUGGCUUAGAAGCAGCCAUCAUUUAAAGAAAGCGUAAUAGCUCACUGGUCGAGUCGGCCUGCGCGGAAGAUGUAACGGGGCUAAACCAUGCACCGAAGCUGCGGCAGCGACACUAUGUGUUGUUGGGUAGGGGAGCGUUCUGUAAGCCUGUGAAGGUGUGCUGUGAGGCAUGCUGGAGGUAUCAGAAGUGCGAAUGCUGACAUAAGUAACGAUAAAGCGGGUGAAAAGCCCGCUCGCCGGAAGACCAAGGGUUCCUGUCCAACGUUAAUCGGGGCAGGGUGAGUCGACCCCUAAGGCGAGGCCGAAAGGCGUAGUCGAUGGGAAACAGGUUAAUAUUCCUGUACUUGGUGUUACUGCGAAGGGGGGACGGAGAAGGCUAUGUUGGCCGGGCGACGGUUGUCCCGGUUUAAGCGUGUAGGCUGGUUUUCCAGGCAAAUCCGGAAAAUCAAGGCUGAGGCGUGAUGACGAGGCACUACGGUGCUGAAGCAACAAAUGCCCUGCUUCCAGGAAAAGCCUCUAAGCAUCAGGUAACAUCAAAUCGUACCCCAAACCGACACAGGUGGUCAGGUAGAGAAUACCAAGGCGCUUGAGAGAACUCGGGUGAAGGAACUAGGCAAAAUGGUGCCGUAACUUCGGGAGAAGGCACGCUGAUAUGUAGGUGAAGUCCCUCGCGGAUGGAGCUGAAAUCAGUCGAAGAUACCAGCUGGCUGCAACUGUUUAUUAAAAACACAGCACUGUGCAAACACGAAAGUGGACGUAUACGGUGUGACGCCUGCCCGGUGCCGGAAGGUUAAUUGAUGGGGUUAGCCGCAAGGCGAAGCUCUUGAUCGAAGCCCCGGUAAACGGCGGCCGUAACUAUAACGGUCCUAAGGUAGCGAAAUUCCUUGUCGGGUAAGUUCCGACCUGCACGAAUGGCGUAAUGAUGGCCAGGCUGUCUCCACCCGAGACUCAGUGAAAUUGAACUCGCUGUGAAGAUGCAGUGUACCCGCGGCAAGACGGAAAGACCCCGUGAACCUUUACUAUAGCUUGACACUGAACAUUGAGCCUUGAUGUGUAGGAUAGGUGGGAGGCUUUGAAGUGUGGACGCCAGUCUGCAUGGAGCCGACCUUGAAAUACCACCCUUUAAUGUUUGAUGUUCUAACGUUGACCCGUAAUCCGGGUUGCGGACAGUGUCUGGUGGGUAGUUUGACUGGGGCGGUCUCCUCCUAAAGAGUAACGGAGGAGCACGAAGGUUGGCUAAUCCUGGUCGGACAUCAGGAGGUUAGUGCAAUGGCAUAAGCCAGCUUGACUGCGAGCGUGACGGCGCGAGCAGGUGCGAAAGCAGGUCAUAGUGAUCCGGUGGUUCUGAAUGGAAGGGCCAUCGCUCAACGGAUAAAAGGUACUCCGGGGAUAACAGGCUGAUACCGCCCAAGAGUUCAUAUCGACGGCGGUGUUUGGCACCUCGAUGUCGGCUCAUCACAUCCUGGGGCUGAAGUAGGUCCCAAGGGUAUGGCUGUUCGCCAUUUAAAGUGGUACGCGAGCUGGGUUUAGAACGUCGUGAGACAGUUCGGUCCCUAUCUGCCGUGGGCGCUGGAGAACUGAGGGGGGCUGCUCCUAGUACGAGAGGACCGGAGUGGACGCAUCACUGGUGUUCGGGUUGUCAUGCCAAUGGCACUGCCCGGUAGCUAAAUGCGGAAGAGAUAAGUGCUGAAAGCAUCUAAGCACGAAACUUGCC
rnacentral:rRNA from 1 species